rnacentral:lncRNA from 1 species
GCUUCAACCUGGCACGAGGGAUGCUGCCAGCGUGCGUGUCCCUACGGAAGCUGAGACUGCACUUCCUGCGAGGCCCCUGCAGCAGCAGCGGCGUGGUCAGAGCGAGCUUCGGAGAAGCAGUGGUGGGUUCCAUGUGAUGGUGGAGUAGGAGGCAGGUCUCCGCGGUUCAUCUGUGUUGCUCUAAAUGACACUGUUUCAUUAUUUUGAUGGCUGGAGAAUAUUUCCUAGUGUAUGUAUAUGAGAGUUUCUUGAUCUCUUUAUCUGUGGAUGAACAGCUACUUUGAAACAUAUGAUACAUUUGUGUUAAGGCUAGUCACCCUGCUGUGGAAUAGAAGGCCAGAAUUGAUCAGUCUCAUCUGAGAGUAACUUUGUACCCAUCACUGAUUCCUUCUGAGACUGCCUCCACUUCCCCAGCAGCCUCUGGUUUCUUCAUGUGGCUGCAGAUGGCAGGAUUUCCCAAAGGUUUCUGGCUGAAACAUAUUCCGUGGUGUAUCUGUACAGCAGUUUCCUCAUCCCUGCAGCUGUGUUUGAACAGGUCAUUUACCAUGCUGUCCUCCAGGUUCAACAGUAUGGCUCCAAAGGAUGAAAUUUCAUUCUGAUUUUCUGGCUGAAGACUAUUCUCUUUGUGUAUGUCCACCACAGUUACUUUAUCCCUUCAUCUGUGGAUGGGCAGUCUCGCUGUAUUGCCCAGGCUGGAGUGCAGUGGCAUGAUCUCAGCUCACUGCAAGCUCUGCUUCCUGGGUUCACGCCAUUCUCCUGCCUCAGCCUCCUGAGUAGCUGGGAUUACAGGCACCCGCCACCACGCCCAGGAAAGAAAAAAGAAGAAAACAAACCUCCAUACGAGAAUGGGUCUAAAGGAACUUCCCAAACCUCCAUGAUUUUGCAGGAAACAAGAUAAAGCUGGUUGGUGGAGAAUUUGAACUGGAGAUGAACUUUAUUAUCCAGGAUGCUGAGAGUAUAAUACGCAUGACAGAGCUUUUAGAGCACUGUGAUGUAACAUGUCAAGCAGAAAUAGGGAGCAUGUUUACAGCCAUUCUAUGAAAAAGUGUUUGGAAUGUACAGACUAGCACAGAAGUUGGGCUAAUUAAACAAGUAUUGCUGAAAAUGAGUGCUGUAGAUGACAUGAGAGCAGGUAUGGGGUUGUCUGUUAGGAAAGUAUAACUUAAAAGUUUAUAAAGUUUCACAUACUUCUCUUUAUAUUCUAUAGGUAAUGUAGAUUUGUUGACACUACUUUGAUUUAAAAUAAAUGGAAAUGUAUGGAAAUUUUACUUUUUAUAUUAAUGGAAAACCUGAAGAGUGAAAGAAGAAAAAUAUACUUACUAUAGUAGACAAAUAUAAUUACUAAUGUUGUUUUCUAAAUUUUAGAAAAUCUCAGUACCACGGAGUGCUAUGAAAUCUAUCAGAAAAAUAAACAGUAUCUUUUUAUGUAGUAUUUCAUUAAGCUUUUACAUAAUUAAAAUGCCACAAUAGGUAUUACAGUUCUGUAUAAUGAGCAUUUUAUCAAAUUCCCCUAGUUCUGUGCCCCUCAAUCUGGCAUAUAUGCAACUAUGACAGGAGGUACUAAAAGCCUUAGAUAAGCAUGGUGUAUCUUUUUUUUUUCCCACGUAUAUUUUUUGUUGUUUUUUGUUUUUUUCUGUUAUAUGUCCUGGUUCUUCCAUAACUUAUAAACUUGAUUUAUACCGAGGAGGUGGGAAAGUGGGCGGGGCAGGGUGGACUGACCCGGGAUGGGGAAGCUCCUCUCGCUGCCCCCUCGGGGCGGGCCUAGGCCCUUUGGAGGAUGGGGACGCCAGGACACUCCUCCCUGAGGUCGUCUGGCCGCCUCUGCCCCUAGUGCUCAGAAUCCUGUGUGCCCCUCAAUUCCGGAAUCCCUCCUGGGACCCCAUGCCCACUGGGCACACUGCCCCUGGUACUCAGAAUCCCGAAGCACCAUUCGGUUCCAGAAUCCCCUCCUCAGCUGCUGGGGUGGCGGGGUCCCUCCUUUCCGAUGUCCCCCCCAACCCCUGAGGGGGGAGGGAAGGGAGGGGGGUCAGGUCUCCCCUCUGUGGCAGGGGGAGGUGGAGGUGGAGGUGGAAUCGGAAGGGCGUGGAAGGCGGGGGCCAGGA